AUGUGAAUGGGAGCAGGACGAUAGGGUGAUUCCAUGUGAAUGGGAGCAGGAGGAUGAUAGGGCGAUUCCAUGACGAUAGGGCGAUUCCAUGUGAAUGGGAGCAGGACGAUAGGGUGAUUCCAUGUGAAUGGGAGCAGGAGGACGUUAGGGCGAUUCCAUGUGAAUGGGAGCAGGACGAUAGGGUGAUUCCAUGUGAAUGUGAGCAGGAGGAUGUAAGGGCGAUUCCAUGUGAAUGGGAGCAGGACGAUAGGGCGAUUCCAUGUGAAUGGGAGCAGGAGGACGUUAGGGCGAUUCCAUGUGAAUGGGAGCAGGACGAUAGGGUGAUUCCAUGUGAAUGGGAGCAGGAGGACGAUAAGGCGAUUCCAUGUGAAUGGGAGCAGGACGAUAGGGUGAUUCCAUGUGAAUGGGAGCAGGAGGACGAUAGGGCGAUUCCAUGUGAAUGGGAGCAGGACGAUAGGGUGAUUCCAUGAGGUUGGGAGGAGAGGGGAAGAGGAGAGGGGGAGAAGAGGGGAAGAGGAG
rnacentral:lncRNA from 1 species